CACCACUUCCCAUUUCAAUUUCUGGGCCAGGGCUGCUGUCAGAGGGAGGCUCUAACCCAGCAGGCUGCAGAAAGGACCCACAGGCCAGUCAUCAGGGGCUCGGCUCAGCGCGAAGGCAGGACAAUGGCCAGGGACAAUAUCUAUGCGAACAUGCCAAUGACGGAAGCUGCUCCCCAGCCCAAAGGAAACCCUCCCGAGACAUCGGUCCCUUGGCGGCACAGGGCGGGGGGCAUCGUCAUUCCUGUCCUUCUCCUCCUGGGUCUGGCCCUGGCCACGUCCCUCAUUGCUGUGACGCUUCUCUAUCUCCGGGCACAGAGCAAGCUGCAAGCGGUUGAAGA